rnacentral:tRNA from 1 species
GCGGGUGUAACUCAGAUGGUAGAGUAUCAGCUUCCCAAGCUGAGGGUCGCGGGUUCGAGUCCCGUCACCCGCU